ACAAACAGCAAGGGGGAGGAGAUGAAACAUAACCCUCACCUUUCCUUCUCACCACCAUAACUCCUCCGUCCGGGCUCCGAUCGCCGCACCGUUCGCGGCCACGCGCACAGCGCGUCGAGCUCUACCUUUCUAUCCGAAUAAUUUCAUUGGUUCAAGUUAGCUUCCGGAACUUGUGGGCUCAAGCUAUUGAGCAUAUGGGUAUGGUGUAGUUUAAGAGGGUAUUUAUGCUUUGGACUUGCAUUUGGAUUACUUGGAGUUUUGUUGGUGACAAGGCUUGCUUUGGGGCUGUUUGUUUGAGUUUGGAGGAGACUGUGAUUUUGUGUUGAGAGGCUGCCUUGGGUGAAUUAAGUAAUCGGCCAAGAUGCAGGUCGAGAGGCUCCUCGCUAGGUGUCUGGAUCUUCAAGCGGAGUAGUCCCUGGGGUGUUUUGGUUUAUCAGAUUAUGUAUAUAUGUACUUAGUUACUUAGCUUGCUCUCCAAGAAACUU